rnacentral:misc_RNA from 1 species
UACGAGGGGUGCAAGCGUUGUUCGGAAUCAUUGGGCGUAAAGCGGGUGUAGGUGGCCAAUCAAGUCAGAGGUGAAAGCCCAGGGCUCAACCCUGGAAGUGCCUUUGAUACUGGUUGGCUUGAGUGUGGGAGAGGGUGCUAGAAUUCCUGGUGUAGUGGUGAAAUACGUAGAGAUCAGGAGGAACACCGGUGGCGAAGGCGGGUGCCUGGCCCAACACUGACACUCAGACCCGAAAGCGUGGGUAGCAAACAGG